CCUACGGGGGGCAGCAGUGAGGAAUAUUGGUCAAUGGGCGCGAGCCUGAACCAGCCAAGUCGCGUGAGGGAGGACGGCCCUACGGGUUGUAAACCUCUUUUGCCGGGGAGCAACGGGCGCCACGUGUGGCGUCACUGAGAGUACCCGGAGAAAAAGCAUCGGCUAACUCCGUGCCAGCAGCCGCGGUAAUACGGAGGAUGCGGGCGUUAUCCGGUUUUAUGGGGGUAAAGGGGUGCGUAGGCGGAUCGUUACGUCAGUGGUCAAAUUGAGGGGCUCAACCCCUUCCCGCCAUUGAAACUGGCGUUCUUGAGUGGAAGAGAAGUAUGCGGAAUGCGUGGUGUAGCGGUGAAAUGCAUAGAUAUCACGCAGAACCCCGAUUGCGAAGGCAGCAUGCCGGCUUCCGACUGACGCUGAAGCACGAAAGCGUGGGGAUCGAACAGGAUUAGAUACCCGUGUAGUC
rnacentral:rRNA from 1 species